GACGAAUGCUGGCGGCGUGCCUAACACAUGCAAGUCGAGCGAGUGAAUCUCCUUCGGGAGUGAAGCUAGCGGCGGACGGGUGAGUAACACGUGGGCAACCUGCCUCAUAGAGGGGAAUAGCCUUCCGAAAGGAAGAUUAAUACCGCAUAAGAUUGUAGCUUCGCAUGGUAGAUAUAUCAAAGAUUUAUCGCUUAGAGAUGGACUCGCGUCCGAUUAGUUAGUUGGUGAGGUAACGGCUCACCAAGACCGCGAUCGGUAGCCGGACUGAGAGGUUGAACGGCCACAUUGGGACUGAGACACGGCCCAGACUCCUACGGGAGGCAGCAGUGGGGGAUAUUGCGCAAUGGGGGAAACCCUGACGCAGCAACGCCGCGUGAAGGAUGAAGGUCUUCGGAUUGUAAACUUCUUUUAUUAAGGACGAAGAAAGUGACGGUACUUAAUGAAUAAGCUCCGGCUAACUACGUG
rnacentral:rRNA from 1 species